GGGCGGUUAGCUCAGUUGGUAGAGCAGCGGACUUUUAAUCCGUUGGUCCGGGGUUCGAGCCCCCGACCGCCUACCA
rnacentral:tRNA from 1 species